rnacentral:rRNA from 1 species
AGCUUCCAUUGGUACAGAUCUUGGUGGUAGUAGCAAAUAAUCGAAUGAGACCUUGGAGGACUGAAGUGGAGAAGGGUUUCGUGUGAACAGUGGUUGAUCACGAGUUAGUCGGUCCUAAGCCUAAGGCGAAAGCCGAAUAAAAAUUUAAGGUUUUAUCUAAGAUAUAUAAAAAAAAAAAUACCUUAAAUUUAAAAUUAGGCGAAAGGGAAUACGGUUCCAAUUCCGUAACCCGUUGAGUAUACGUUUGUAAUAAAUCUGGUCAUUUAUGAUCAUCCCGGUAACGGAAACAAUCAUAGAGAAGCCGUCGAGAGAUAUCGGAAGAGUUUUCUUUUCUGUUUUAUAGCUGUACUACCAUGGAAGUCUUUCGAAGAGAGAUAUGGUAGAUGAGCUAGAAGAGCAUGGCAUUUACUGCUGUGUCGAUAUUUUCUCCUCGGACCUUGAAAAUCUAUGAUUGGGCCACGCAAACUUCUCAACAGGCCGUACCAAUAUCCGCAGCUGGUCUCCAAGGUGAA